AACGAACGUUGGCGGCAUGGAUUAGGCAUGCAAGUCGGGGGAAUCCCAGCAAUGGGGGAACCGGCGUAAGGGGCAGUAAGGCGUGGGUACCUACCCUGCGGUCCGGGAUAGCCCUGCGAGAGCAGGGGUAAUACCGGAUGACCUCGGGAGAGCAAAGGCUUGCCGCCGCGGGCGGGGCCCACGUGGUAUUAGCUAGUUGGUGGGGUGACGGCCCACCAAGGCGGUGAUGCCUAGCGGGUGUGAGGGCACGACCCGCGCCACUGGCACUGAGACACUGGCCAGACACCUACGGGUGGCUGCAGUCGGGGAUCUUCGGCAAUGGGCGGAAGCCCGACCGAGCGAUGCCGCGUGCGCGACGAAGGCCUUCGGGUUGUAAAGCGCUGUCGGGGGGGAGAAAGGGCAACUUGAUCGAUCCCCGGAGGAAGCUCGGGCUAAGUUCGUGCCAGCCGCCGCCGCAGUAA
rnacentral:rRNA from 1 species